rnacentral:rRNA from 1 species
UACGAAGGGGGCUAGCGUUGCUCGGAAUUACUGGGCGUAAAGGGCGCGUAGGCGGCCUACUAAGUCGGACGUGAAAUCCCUCGGCUCAACCGGGGAACUGCGUCCGAUACUGGUGGGCUCGAAUCCGGGAGAGGGAUGUGGAAUUCCAGGUGUAGCGGUGAAAUGCGUAGAUAUCUGGAGGAACACCGGUGGCGAAGGCGGCAUCCUGGACCGGUAUUGACGCUGAUGCGCGAAAGCCAGGGGAGCAAACGGG